AAAUUCUUGUGCCCACACACAAAGAAAAAUCCUUACAGUUUCUUUUAGUUCUUGAAGAACACUGGAAUAUGCCAAAAGGUUUGAAAAAGAAUCAAGAAAAUCAAACAAGGAAGCUUGAAGAUGAAAUCAAGGAGAUCAAAGAUAAAAGGAUUUUUUUUGUAAAGCACGCUACAAUGGUAAUUCCUAAAACACAUUGUGUUAUUUAUUUUUCAAAUUAUUUCAUUCUUGUUGAUUCACAAUUUAAUAAAAUCCUUUGUAUUUUUCCAACAAUUGGUAUUAGAGUCUAGGUGUUGAUAUUAUUUUGUGUAUCAAGAAUUAAAUAAUUUUGGAUUAUGCAUGUGUUAGUAAAGGGCGGUGCUACGAUUAUGUGAUUUAUUUUGCUAUUGGAUGAAUGAUAUUUUUUUAUUGAAUGAGUUUAUGGCCUUAGAAUUUUGUGGUGAAAUCAUGUAUGGCUUGAAUUGAGUCAUAUAACAAAAGGGGUGGAUUAUGACUCCAUGUUUUCCCUUAUGAUUUUAAUUUUUGCAAUAGAGUUAGGGUUUGUAUAUUGCUAGUGUUAUUGCUGUAAUUAUGUAUCAGAGGAUUUGUUCUGCAAUUAUGAAUCGGGGGACUUAAACUGCAAUUUGGACUCAAAGAAUUAAGCUGCAAAUUCAAAUCCAAGGACCAAACUUCAUCUUCUCCAACGAAUUGAAGGACCUGCACCGUAAAAUCAGCAAAAAUAAAAAUAAAAAUAAAAACCAAAAUCAAAAUCAAAAUCAAAAUAGGGAAGACGAAGGGGGCGUCUACCUGGAGACGGUGGGCAGCACCUGCUGCCAUGGAGACCCGUGUAGAGCAGCGGCGCCCUCCUGUGCUGCUGUUUCGCGUGAAAGGCGACAGCUCCGAGAUUUGCCACCGCAUCUCGUGUAAGGACAGUGGCGUUUUCGGUCGUUUCUGCUUCACCUGUAUGGGUCGAAAGUGGCAGUGGUCCCGGGGUGGCGCGUCGGCGUCGGCGUUGAUGGUUGAUUGUUAUUUAUUCCGGUGACUCGGAAAUGGUGGCAGAUAGCCACCCAAAAACGAUUUUUCAAAAUGGUCGAUGAUUACUAUUUUAAAAAAAAUUAAAUUGAAAAAUCAGUAAAAACCUUUAAAAUAAUAAAAAUUUAAUAUUAUAUCUAACAAAUCACUCUCAAAUCGAUAUCUGAAAAAGAAGGGAAAGAAAUCUUGUUGGAAAUAAUGAUAGAAAUCUUUGUAAAUUAUAUAAAAUUACUGGAAAUGAUAUUUUUUGAAGUGUUUUUUGGCCGAAAUGACUAUCUUAGGCACUGGACCGUAGAAGAAUAUGAGGAGAAGGCGGCCAGACGACCCAGACCGUUUGCAAAACAAACUGCUGGGUCGUCUGUGUUUGCAAACAGACGGGUGGGCCGUCUGGAAAAGACGGCCAAGAAGCAGCAGUUGGGCCAAACGACUUCCCUCAUUUAUUUAUUUUUCGUUGUAUUCCAUAAAUAAUUUAAAUAGACAAAAAUAAAUAAUGAACAUUUAAAUAUUAAAUAAAUGAUUAUUGAAAUGAUAAAUAAAAAAUGUAAAUAAUUAAUAAAUAUUAAUAAUCAAAAUAUGUAAUUAAAAUUUAUUUGAAAUAAAUUUCUAACAUUAAAAAUAAAUAAUCAAAUAUUUACGUUUACUUGCUCAAUAAAUAAUUUAAAUAAUAAAUCAAUAUAAAUAAUUAAAUUAAUAAUUUAAAUGAACAAUUGAAACAAAUAAAUGAAAAACAAUUGGAAUAAAUAAUUAAUUUAAAUGCACAAAAAUAAAUAAUGAACAUUUAAAUAAUAAUUAAAAGAUUAUUUAAACGAUAAAUGAAAAAUUCAAAUAAUGAAUAAAUGUUAAUAAUCAAAAUAUGUAAUUAAAAUUUAAUUGAAAUAAAUUUCUAACAUUAAAAAUAAAUAAUCAAAUAUUUACGUUUACUUGCUCAAUAAAUAAUUUAAAUAAUAAAUCAAUAUAAAUAAUUAAAUUAAUAAUUUAAAUGAACAAUUGAAACAAAUAAAUGAAAAACAAUUGGAAUAAAUAAUUAAUUUAAAUGCACAAAAAUAAAUAAUGAACAUUUAAAUAAUAAUUAAAUGAUUAUUUAAACGAUAAAUGAAAAAUUCAAAUAAUGAAUAAAUGUUAAUAAUCAAAAUAUGCAAUUAAAAUUUAAUUGAAAUAAAUUUCUAACAUUUAAAAUAAAUAAUUAAAUAUUUACAUUUACUUGUUCAAUAAAUAAUUUAAAUAAUCAAUCAAUAUAAAUAAUUAAAUAUUUACAUUUACUUGUUCAAUAAAUAAUUUAAAUAAUCAAUCAAUAUAAAUAAUUAAAUAAAAUAAUUUAAAUGGACAAUUGAAACGAAUAAAUGAAAAAUAAUUGGAAUAAAUAAAUAAUUUAAAUGGACAAAAAUAAUAAUGAACAUUUAAAUAAUAAUUAAAUGAUUAUUUAAAUGAUAAAUGAAAAAUGUAAAUAAUGAAUAAAUGUUAAUAAUCAAAAUAUGUAAUUAAAAUUUAAUUGAAAUAAAUUUCUAACAUUGGAAAUAAAAAUUAAAUAUUUACAUUUACUUGUUCAAUAAAUGAUUUAAAUAAUCAAUCAAUAUAAAUAAUUAAAUCAAAUAAUUUAAAUGAACAAUUGAAACAAAUAAAUGAAAAAUAAUUAAUUGAAAUGCACAAAAUAAAUAAUAAACAUUUAAAUAAUAAUUAAAUGAUUAUUUAAAUGAUAAAUAAAAAAUGCAAAUAAUGAAUAAAUGUUAAUAAUCAAAAUAUGUAAUUAAAAUUUAAUUGAAUAAAUUUCUAGCAUUUAAAAUAAAAUUAAAUAUUUACGUUUACUUGUUCAAUAAAUAAUUUAAAUAAACACUUGAAAUAAAUAAAUGAAAAAUAAUUGGAAUAAAUAAUUAAUUGAGAUGGACAAAAAUAAAUAAUUAACAUUUAAAUAAUAAUUAAAUGAUUAUUUAAAUGAUAAGUAAAAAAUGUAAAUAAUGAAUAAAUGUUAAUAAUAAAAAUAUGUAAUUAAAAUUUAAUUGAAAUAAAUAUUCAAAAUAAUUUAUUUAAAUAAGUAAUUAAAUAUAAAUAAUCAAAAUUAAUUAAAUAAAGAAUUGAAAUAAAUAAUAAAGAAUAAAAUAAACUAUGAAAUACAUAAGUAUACAAAAAUUAGUUUUUUGCAUUUUAUAAUUUGUUGUCUAAUUUUGUAAUUCAUUUUAUUUAUUAUCUGUUAUUUCGUGCGUAUAUUACUUGUAGUUCGGUUAGUUGAAUUUUGUAACAUUAUAUUUCAAAUGUUAUAAUAUUUAAAAUUUUGCAUAAUGGAUUACUAUUUGGACGCUACCUUGAAACAAAUUCCUGAAAAAGUUUCGCGUAACUUUACUAGCUUCACAGCAGUGUUGGAUUCAACCGUUUGGAUUGGCUUAACGUGCCGACCAUUUUUUUAUUUUUUUUAAUAUUGAAUUUAAUUGUUUAAAAAUAUUUCAUGAAAUGAAUAUAAUAAACAAUUGAAUAUUCAAUAAAAAAUUAAAAUAAAUGAGAAACUAAUAUAAAUAAUUAAAUGUAGUAAAUAAAUAUGAAAUAAACUAUUAAAAUAAGUAAUUAAAUAGAGUAAUUAAAUAUUAAACAAACAAUAUACAUAACCAAUUAAAAUAAUUAAUGAGAUAUUUAAAUAAAAAUUAAAUUAAAUAUUUAAUAAGUAAUUUAAUAAAUUAAUAUUUAAUUUAAUUAUCUAUUUAAAUAUUUAAGUAAUUACUUUAAUUGUUUAUGUAUAUUAUUUGUUUAAUAUAUAAUUAUUCAUUUUAUAUUUUAUUUGUUUAUUUAAAUAUUUCAUGAAUUAUGUUAAUUAUUUAUGUAUAUUGUUUAUUUAAAUGAGUAAUAAAUAAAUAGCUGAAAUAAAUUAAAUAAAUAUUAAUAAAACAAUUGAAAUAAUUAAUUGAAAUAAUAAAUAAAUAAUUAAAAUAAAUUCAAUAAACAAGUAAUUUAAAUGUUAAUUAAGCAAUAAAAAUAACUUUGCCAGCGUCGCAUUAAUUUUAUAUUUGUUGGAUGAGGAGCACGAAGACCUGUUACACCGAUUCUGCUUAUGACAGUAACUCUGACACAGUUAGGAGAUGCAUUUAAGGAAUGCAAAUAUUUAUUUGACAAGUUGAAGUUGGGGAUGAUAUUUAUACUAGAGAGCAUAAUGAGGUAUCAUCAUAAGAAGACGUCGAUCGACGUCUUUCGUUUGGAGGUUGUUGAUAACAUUGACACAUUCAACAACUAUCCAUGGGGACAAAGCUGACAGUUAUCAGCUCUUCUCAACGAUCUUGAGAUACAAAUUAUUCGUUUGUAAUUUAUGUUGUACGUCAUUUCGAAAUCUCGAUGCAUGGUCAUUAACUCAGUGAAAUGUUAAUAUGUCAGCUUGAAUUGCUCACCGAGCUGACACCGUUGAUCGAGAAGGUGGGUCAGAGUCAUAUCCGAGGAGAUAGAGUAUGCAGGCAAUAAGGGUUCCAAACAGUGACAGAGAGUAGCGGAGAUGGUGGCAGAGAAGGUGACGGUGGAGGGGUGGGGAUGUACACGGAUGUUUCAUUAGAAUCUUUAUGAAUGUCAGUGGAGAUGAGAGAGGUGCGGUGGUGGGGUCGAAAUAAUUGUAAUAAUUGUAAAUAUUUUUUUAUUUAUGAAAUAAUUGUAUAUAUUGUCAAAUUUAUUUAAAUAAGGUAAUGAAAUAUUAAAUAUACACUACACGCAACCAAUUAAGAUAAUUUAUAAAUGAAAUAUCUAAAUAAGAAAUUAAAUUAAAUAUUAAUUUUUUAUUUAAUUAAGUGAUUAAAUAAAUAAUUAAACAAUGUAAUUAAAUAUUAAAUAAAUAAUAUACAUAACUAUGCCGGAGAGAACCCCCAACUUGACAAAUAAUGUCGCGAGUUUGGAUGACACCAUGUACGAAACAUAUUAUUGACAUGCCAAAGCAAAUGGUUAGUAAGAGGACUAGAUUACCGUCACAAUACAUUGUUUCUCCGUACACAAUCGAGGCAAAGAAGAGAACAUCUGUUGACGGUACAUUGCUCAACCUCUUCCGUGAAAUCGACUCAGGCGAUUGUGAAAUCUUCGCAUUGAAGUUAGGGCUGUAAAUGGAUCUGAUAUAUGGAUCGGAUCUACUCAAAUCCGAUCCUUGAAUGAUAAUUAUCUGAUCCAAUCCGAUCCGAUUCGAUCCAAUCAUUCGACGAAUUUUUGAAUGUUAAAUCCAUAUUCGAUUAAAUAUGUUAUUGAUUAUCCGAUUCGAAAUUGAAAGAAUCAGAAAAAUAAUGAUUUUAUUUAUUUAUCAUAUCAGAAUGACUUAUAUCCAUAUUUAAUUCAUUUAGUGAACGGAUUAUCGGAUUUGAAUCUCGAUUGGGUUAUCGAAUUAAAUUCCUAAAUCCAUUUCUCAUUAAUUUCAUCGGAUUUAGAUCGGAUUCGGAUCAAAAUCCAAUCUAUUGAUUCAUUUAGUUAACGAAUUAUUGAAUUCGAAUCUCGAUUGGGUUAUCGGAUUGAGACCUUAAAUACAUCUCUCAUUAAUUUCAUCGGAUUCAGAUCAAAAUUCUAUCCAUUGACCGCCCUAAUUGAAGUACAUUGAAUUUUUAGCAUCUAAUGUGGUGUAGAGCUGAUAAACUAAACACUUAUUAAAAUGGAAGUGUUCUUUUAUGUACAUUGUGAUCCGUAAUUGUAAUAAUUUCAAAUGCAACCAUUUUUUUAAAACGUUUGUAAUAUUUAAUUUUUAUGUAAUUGUAUAAUAAAUAACUAAUUGCUCUUAAUUACAUAUAUAACACAGUAUAAAUAAAGAAAUUUGAGGAAAUCAGUAACACACUAUAAAUAGAGAGUACAUAGGAUUUAAAUAGAUAUUACACAUCCAUUAGGUAGAGAAUAACAUACUAUAAUCGGGAACUUAUCACUCAACUUCAUUUGGUAGAAGAAAUAUAGUUUAAAAUUCUUAAAUAAUGCUCAAUGUAUUGAAAAUGUGACCAUGCCUAAAGUUCGACUCCCAUCUCUGCUAGAUAUUCUCAUACACUAUGUGAUUUAUGUUCUAAUUAAAUAUUAAAUAAAUAAUAUACAUAACCAAUUAAGAUAAUUAAUUAAUGAGAUAUUUAAAGAAUAAAUAAAAUUAAAUAUUAAUUUUCUAUUCGAAUAAGUGAUUAAAUAAAAUAAUGAAAUAUUAAACAAGCAUUAUACAUAACAAAUUAAGAUAAUUAAUUAAUGAAAUAUUUAAAGAAGAAAUUAAAUUAAAUAUUAAUUUUUUAUUUGAGUAAGUGUUUAAAAUAAAUAAUUAAAUAAAGUAAUUAAAUAUACAUAACUAAUUAAAAAAUUUUUAAAUAAGAAAUUAAAAUAAAUAUUAAUUUUUUAUUUAAAUAAGUGAUUAAAUAAAGUAAUUAAAUAUUAAAUGAACAAUAUACAUAACCAAUUAAGGUAAUUAAUAAAGAAAUAUUUAAACGAGAAACCAAAUUAAAUAUUAAUUUCUUUAUUUGAGUAAGUGUUUAAAAUAAAUAUUUAAAUAAGGACCAAUUAAGAUAAUUAAUUAAUGAAAUAUAUAAAAGAGAAACCAAUUUAAAUAUAAUUUUUUUAUUUGAGUAAGUGUUUAAAAUAUAUAUUUAAAUAAUUAAUUAAAUAUACAUAUAUCAAUUAAGAUAAUUAGAUAAUGAAAUAUUUAAAUGUGAAAUCAAAUUAAACAUUAAAUAUUUUUAUUUAAACAAGUGAUUAAAUAAAUAAUUAAAUAGAUUAAUUAAAUAUUAAAUAAAUAAUAUACAUAAUCGAUUAAGAUAAUUAAUUAAUGAAAUAUUUAAACAAUAAAUCAAAUAUUAAUUUUUUUAUUUGAGUAAGUGUUUGAAAUAAAUAAUUAAAUAUAAAGUGAAAAAUGUUUGGUUGUUUAAUUUGUAACUUAGGGAUAUUUUUGUCUUUUUAAACAAAAUUAUAUCUUUAUAAUUAUAUAAACUAUUUAAGGAUAUUUUUGUCUUUUAUUCAACAAAUGGUCAUUUUGAAGAUUGGCAAAUUUUUUUAGUCAAAGUUGAAAAAUGGCCUUUUGACUUGCCUAAUCUCAAAAGUACACCAUAACUCCUUGGUUUUUUCCAACGCUGAGUCCUAGAGAAGUUGGUGAGAUUCAUUUGGGCCAACUAUUGAAAUGGGUAGAUUUUGAGUUGGGCUUGGUAUUGUGAAAUGGGCUAUAAUUAAUAAAAGUUGGAUUAAGGGAAAAGUUCAUAAUUAAGGGGUAUUCUUUAUACCAAUUCAAGAACGGAAAAUUUUAUAAGUGAGAGAUUAAGUAUGACAUAUUUCAACAUUAAAAAAAUAUGUUUCAAAUUUCAAAAAUCAGAUUUUAUUUAAAAUAUAUUUAUGAUUUAAUUAAUUAAUUAAAUAUAUUUAGGUCACAUAUCUAUACACAAAUUAACAAUUUAAUUAGUCACUUAUUAUUUUUUGGUCACAAAUCAGAUAUUUUAUGUUACAAAUUAUUUUAUGAUCACAAUUUAAAAAUUUUCUAGGUCACGAUUUGUUCAUCGGUCACAAAUAAAAAAAUGAUUUAAUCAUAGAUUAAUUUUUAGUCACAACUUAUUUUUCGGUCACAAAUAAAAAAUUUUAUAAGUCACAUUAUUUUUCAGUCACAAAUAAAAAAAUUUAUAGAUCACAAAUAUUAUAGGUCACAACUUAUUAGACGGUCACAAAUUAUUAAUACUUUAGGUCACACAUUAUUUCUUGGUCACAAUUUAUCUUUUUCAUUGGUCAUAUAUUAUUUAUUGAUAACAGAUUAACCAAUUCACUGGUUACAAUCAACUGAAUAAUCUGUGACCAUCACCAACACUUAGGACCAUCACUUCAAUGCUGCCUCCAACAGCAGCACCACCACCGUUAUCGCCAAAACCACCACCACAUUGGUCACAACUUUCAACCAACCAAUAAAAUCGUCACAUACACGCACACCCCCAUCCCACCACUCCAAAGCACCGCACUACCUCCAACCACCAUCAGCGACGUUUCCCACCGCCACCACCAUCGACAUCACCACCACUAUAACACCAACAUCACCCACGCCCCAUCCCACCACUUCAAAGCACCAUAAUUCUGUCAACAACCACUAACGACGCCGCCCAUCAACACCACCAUCGAAAUCACCACCACUACAACACCAAAAGUAAAGCCACCACCAUCAUGAGCGUCACAUUUGUGACCAAUACACAGUGGCGCUGAAACUGCCUACUUCGGCAACACCCUCACUGCCGUCAUCUCUAGAUCCAGCACCACGAAACAACCCCCACCCUUAUCACCUCACAACAAUGUCACCACCAUGCUGCUGCCACCAUCACACAAUGCACACUUCGCCUCGUCCUGUACAGUUUACACACACCCCCACACCACACACACACCACCGCCCCGUCCUACAAGCUCGAAUCAAGGCAAAAAAUUUUGAUUUCAAAUUUAAGGCAUAAAAAAAUCUUCCUGAAUCACAAGUCUUUCCGAUUUUCAAUCCACCUUAAGCUCCCUCCAUUUCUUAUCGACAUCAGAUCUAAAACCAAAAUCCUCAAUUCCAUUGAAAUUGAAAAAAUGAUUAUCUCUUGCUGUUGGUUCUUAGUGCCGUUUCAGAACGACACCACCCUACUGCGGUGGUGGUGGUCUAGUGGUCACCGCGUCGAACACCAACACCACAAAGGAUCUUCGCUGUUAGGCUUCCCUCUUCGCCUCUCUGCGUGACGUUGCCUAUCGUCGUCAAAUGAGAUGGGUCGAAGCUAGUGUGUGGAGCGUUGGGACGCCAAAAUAGUGAGAGUGGGGUAGAUAGAGAGGGAGGGAGGGAGGGAGGGGAGAAUGAUAAUUGAAUUUUAGCGUUUGGGAUGAGUAUAUAUUUAAUUUUGUAAUACAAUUAUUAAUAUGUCAAAUUUAUUAAUUAAUUAAAAAAAUCUGAUUUAUGAAAUAGUAAACUUAUUCUAUGAUUUAUUAAAUGGGAUCUCUAAAUGUAUUAGAAUCUGUAAUUUUCACAUUCAAGAAUGAGAUAAAUUGUUUAAAAAUUCAAAAAUCAAGUAUAUAUUUAAUUAAUUAAAAAUAUUUAAUUAAAAAUAAUGAUGUCACAGAGACAUCAUUAUAGGUUCCAUUUUAUUUAUUGGUCACAAAUCGUUAAAUUAAUUAGUCAAAUAUUAUUUUGAGAUCACAAAUCAAAAGUUUUAUAGAUCACAAAUCGUCAUACUAAUUAGUCACAUAUUAUUUCGAGGUUACAAAUCAAAAGUUUUAUAUGUCACAAUUUAUUUCUUUGAUCACAGAUCUAAAAAUUUAUAGGUCAAAAAUUAUUUCGAGAUCACAUUAAGGUCAUAGAUUAUCAAAUUUUUAGGUCACAUGAUCACAAAUAAUUAAAUGGCUGGUCACAUACGUCAAAUAGUGGUCACAGACCACCACCACCAACACUAUCGCAUCGCCACUGCCAUUACAGUGGUCACAGAUUACCAAAUUUUUAGGUCACAUGGUCACAGAUAACUAAAUGGUUGGUCAUAUAUGGUCACAUACCACUACCACCAACACUAUUGCACCGCCAUUGCCAUCAUGGCCCCUUACAACCACCCUCACCCCAUCAUCGACGCCAACACCAACACCAAUACCAACAAAAAUUAGGACCGUCACCGGAAACCAUCAUAGCAACCAGAUUCAACAAAAAUCACCCUAGCUGUUAGAUUUACCAUGACUGCCACCAACAAAAAUCACAGCAAACCGUUAGAUCCACCACCAUUGCCACCACCAACAAAAAUAACAGACACCACCACAUCCAAACAAAACACUGCCAGCGCCUCAAAUUCUCCAAAAAAGAAAAAAAAAAUCUCCAAAUCCAUCGGUUGGCACCACCACCACUACCUCAAAUCACAACCCAUAAACUACAUACAACCACAAACUUUAUCUACUCUCAGCCACGAACAUCGAAAAAGCGAUUGUUGGGAGUGGAGGUAGUUCGCCACUCACUGUCAGAAGAUGGGAAAGCGAUGAUCUGUGCUGUGAACUUUCGACGGUAUUCGCUGCCAGCCUCUAUUGAAUAGGAAAAUGGGGAAAAUGUGCUAGAUCCUAGGAAAGCGACCAUCUGGUGCUUCGAAUGGAGGUGGUUCGUCACCGGCAUGAACUGGUUCAAGGGGAAAAAUGGGGUAAAUGAAGGGGUAAGUGAAUGGGGUUAAUGAAUGAAGAGGUGGUUCGUCGCCCUGCUAAUGGAGGUAGUGGUUCUGAUGCCACUUGAAGGAGUGAAGAGAGAGAGUGGGAUGAGUGGGACGGGGGUGAGAAGAGAGAAAGAGAGAGGGUGGGGUGAAUAAAGGGGUGAGCGAAUUAAUUAGGGUUUAGCAUACCUGAUUUGUGAAAAAUAAAACUUCUGCCCUGAUUUUUGAUUUGCAAUCUUUAAACACCUGUUAUUAGGUAAUUUUCUCUUGGGUUAAACCAUUUUUUAAGUGGAAAUUAUACAAAACCCAACUUUAAAAAACCCGUGUUCUAAAAUCAGGCGGAAAGUUUCAAUUUUCACAAAUCAAAAUUUUCAACCUAAGCCCUAAUACAUUUAUCCAAACCGUAAAUUAUUUAUCCCCCUCUCUCCUCCUCUCCUCAGUAUCCGUUCUUCUCUCCUUCUCCACCGUCAUCCGUUCAGGAACCAUCCUCGUUGGUGACGACAGUCGUGCAUCACUGAGUCUCCAUCCUCAUUUGGUCGCUAAUGUAGACGGCGAGGCGCUGCGAGCAGCGAUGCCUUGCUGCUCCUUGAUGACGACGUCACAACUACGCCUAGCGAGGUUGAGCUCUGCUGUUGCCUGAAUCUGCCUUUGCUGGUGGUGGCUGGCAGUAUCAGAUCUGUUGGUGGUGGUGAUUGAUCGUGCAUCUAACGGUGAGGUUGGAUGGUGGGUGUCGAAUCUGGGAUGGUGGCUGGUGGUGAUUUGUGAUAUUAUCCUAAUUAAUAAUUCAAAAGUCAAACUUUCAGAUUUGUGAUUUCGAUUUCUUGCUUUCUGCAAUUCAUUUUAUUUCUUUAUGACGAUGCGUUUGUGUUGGGUUGGGGUUAAGUUUGUGUUUUGUUAUUGGAUUGUGUUGAUUGUGGUUGUCGUGGGGAUAAUGGUUCACGUAGUGAUGGGUGGUGGUGUUAGCAGUGGUCAUAGGUGGUUUUGAGGUGGAUUUUGUGGUAGUUUUUUGAGGUGGUUUGGUAGUGGUGAUGGUGGUGGUCACGUGUGCGGUGUCAGGUGUUUUGGUGCUCUAAUGAUCUGGUUGCGAUCCAGUGAGUUGGUGGUAGUAGUGAUGGCAUUAAGGUUGUUGCGAAGUCCAAGUCUAGUUGUUUGAUGACAUUAUUUUGGUUGAUUUUUGCGUUUGAGUGUUGUGUGAUAGUCAUGGUUGGCAAUGUGGUGGUGUUUUUUGCAAUGUGUUGAUUUGUUUGAGGUGGUGGUUCUGGUGACGACGACGGUGGUGGCGGUUUGUGACCAACCAUUUGGUUAUUCGUGAACAACUAAUUAAUCGUGACCUAAAUAUUCGAUAAUUUGCGACUGAAAAUAAUUUGUGACCAAUUAAUUUGGAAAAUCUGUGACAUACAAAUAAGCUGUAACUUGAUUUGUGACUGAUGAAGUUAACCAUGACAAAUUAAUUUGAUAAAUUGCAAUGAAUAAAUGAGUUGUGACCAAUAAAAGUUGAUUUUGUGACCAACGAAUAAUCUGUAACAUAUAAAUUUUUUUAUUCGUGACCCAAAAAUAAUAUAUGACCUAUGAAAUUUUUGAUUUGUGACCGAAAAAAAGUUGUAAACAAUAAAUUGAUAAGUUGUGAUUAAAAAUUAAUCUGUGACUAAUUAAUUUUUUUGAUUUGUGACCAAUGAACAAAUUGUGACCUACAAAAUUUUUGAAUUGUAAUCGUAAAAUAAUGUGACACAAAAUUUUUAAUUUAUGACAAAAAUAAUAAGUAACUAAUUAAAUGGUUAAUUUGUGAUCAAAUUGUAUAGAUUUGUGACCUAAAUAUAUUUAAUUAAUAAAAUAAUAAUUAAUUAAUUAAAUCAUAAAUAAAAUUUAAUAAAAAUAUGAUUUUUGAAGUUUGAAACUUGUUUUCUUAAUUUCGAAAUGUGUGAUACUUAAAAUCUCACUUAUGAAAUUUCCUCUUUUUUUUUUUUUUUUUUUUUAAUUAAUUGUAAUGUGGUUAGCCAGGCCAUUGCAAUGUGGACCAAUAUUUCACAAUGGGUUGGAUCACUGCAAAAUUGGUUGUUGGUACUUGGGCUAAAGGAUAAAGCUUUAGAGCUUUCGAGCUGGACACAACAAAUUGGAAAUUGAAGAACUGGGCCGGAAUGUGGUCCGAUUAAAACUUUGAUUUAUUUGUAGUUUUGCGUCUAGGUUUUGGCCCAUAAAAUUUGUUCUAGUUAUUCUUAUUAUUUCUUUUAUUUAUAGCUUUAAUUAAAUUGUAGAUGAAUGUCAUUAAAUAACAUGUCAUUUAGAUCGCACAUACAUUGCUCUAGGUACUAUAUAGUCAUGUAUGUAGAGAUUUUUUUUUUCUUUUCUAAAUUAGAUAGAUAAGAAAGAGAAUAAAUAUUAUAAUUAAUGAUUAGGCUGUUUUAAUUAAACUGGUUAGAAAUUGUUAAUUGGAAAACCCAAGUAGUAUAAAAAUAUUAAGUGGGUGAGGAUAAAACUUUUUAAAAAACUCAAGUCCUCCCUUAUUUUCUGAUACAUGCUUUAAAAUUUGGAUUGCACCAUUAAUUUUUAUGUCCUACUGAGUAUUCCCAUGUACUUAUCUUUUUCCCUACUUCUUACAGAUUGAAGGGUCGUUGAUUGGUGUGCGAUGCGGUGAAGUUGUGAUGCUAAAAAUUAUGAAAUUUAAAAUAAUAAAUUUGGAGUAACAUGACUCUGGACUUUUAUUUCAUCAUUAUUUUAGUUUUUUAUUUUCCAUGUGAAAAUUCCUUUUUAGGAUUUGAUACAUGUUUCAAUUAAUUAUGGUUCCCAUAGGUUUUAUUUAUUUAUUGAUGAAACAUUUUUUUUU
rnacentral:lncRNA from 1 species